AUAUAUUUUGUUUUAAUUUCUUUUUUUUCAGAAAUUUAAUUUAAUAUUUAUGUUUUUAUUGUAAUCAUAUUUGUAUUUUUCUUUGUAUUCAUAUUUGUGUAUAAAUUUAAAAUAUAUUUUAUAAAAUAAUAAUAAUUUAAAAAGUUAACCAGACAUACACUCGUUUCUUUGUAAUCAUAUGCCCAUAUAUCUGUUUCUUUGUAAUCAUAUUUGUCUAUUCUAGAUCUUGACGCGCAGGUUUUAUGUUAAUUUGUAUUUUUUUGUUUUUUCUGUAAAUAUGUAAAAUUUUCUGUAUUUUUUUUCUUAUAUGUUAAAUAAACUUAAAUGAUAUUCUUGUGUAUAAUUUUUUAAAAACUAUUAGUAAGAGGUUUUGAUAUUGAAAAUAUAUUUUAGAUAAUUUUCUUAGAUAUUAAAUUACAAUAUUUAAAAUAACAUUUAUAUGAAUUCCGAGUUAUUGAAGGUUAAUAGUUAGUUAUAAAUUUGGUGGUUUUUAAUUAAGUUUUUGAACUACACAUUGAAAACAAAACAUAUUUGUCAGGUUAAAUAAAUGUUUUUGAAUCAUGUUUGAUUUUAUUUAUAAAUAAAUCUCACCUUUGAUACGUAUAUAAUUUUUCACAUAUGGGAAAAACAUAUAUAUAUAUAUAUAUAUUUAAUGAAAUUUUAAAUUUAUGAUUAUCAAAAGAAUGACUGUUAUGUACAACCUAUCUCCAAACUACUGAAUCAAUUUUUUUAAAUUGUUCCAUGUACACAAUAUUUCUCAUUUAGGUUUCUAGUCGACAGUUUUUGUAGGGAGUAAUGGAUUGUCAUGCAUAAUAGGAAAUUAAAGAAGAAAGUGGUUAUACAACAUUUAAAUUAAAUAUAGGAAGUUAGUUAUUAUUAAUAGAACAAAUGAAUAAUUAGACAUAACAUUUAUUAAUAUAUAGGUCAUGAUCAUGCUUUAAUAGAAUAGAUAUAUCAUAUUUAAUAAAUUUCAUAAAUAUUUUUAAUUAAAUAACAUAUUUAAAACUCGUUAAAUUAAAUGAGUUUAUAUGAAUAUUUUUUUUCAAAAUUCAAAGAAUCACAAUUUAAAAAUAUCUUCAUUUUUUUAUUUGGAAAAUAUAUAUGGUUGCAAAAUAUGUUUUUAGUGUGUAAAUGUUUACAAAAUAUGUUUUUAGUUUUUAAAUAUAUUAAAUAAAUCAAGUUUCAUAACUAUACACUUGUGUCAUAUGUAUUUCGAAAAAUUACUUUAAAAUUUUAUUAAAUUUAAUUUAUUUUUCGUUAAUGCUUUUAUUUUGUUUUCGAUGAGAAAAAAAAUCAACACACAAGUCACAAGUGAUGUUUUUCUAAAAGAAGUAGAGACGCAAUGAAAAGUGCGUGUUCACAGUACGAGAUGACAUAUUAAUACCAUAUAUAGAAUUUGCAAAUAUUUUUAAAUUUAAUUUUUAAUGAUUUCUAAAUAUUACUAAUGUAUUUUUUUAUCAAAUUACAAAUACAUUUUUGUUUAAACAUGAUUUUAAUUAAAAAAAUACUGUCAUUUUAACUUUUUAUUUGAUAAAUUAUUUUGAAAUCUGUUGUUACUGAAAAUAUUUUAAGUUAUAAAUUUGAAGAUUCUUGUUGUUAUUUUAGAGUGUUUUGGUAGAAAUUUCUAGUUACAAAAAAAUCAAAAAUCUCAUAUUUUAUGAGUUUCUAAAUUAGUUUUAACUAAAAUCAUUGUAAUUUUCAAUUCACCUAAAGUCAUCUAAAACUAAAAAGUUUACAUUCUAAAAUAGUACUUAUACAUACUGUAAAAGUAAGAAGAUUUUUUUUUACAAAGUUUUAUGUUUGCAUGUGUUAGUGUUAUGAAAGUUAACAUGUUUAACCAAGCGAGGAUGGUCCAGUGGUUUUGAAGGAGCUUUGGCCUCAAUAUAGAUCCGGGUUCGAAUUCCGCUGAUCACCGUCAAUUAAAAUAUGAUGAAAAAAGCAAUCAAGAAGUGUCCGGAUAACCUGGAGUAUUAAAAAGAAAAAAAGAAAGUUAACAUGUUUGACAUAUCAGUGGCUAUUAUAUAAUAAUACUAGUGGUAUUCCGGCGCUACGCGCCGGAUUCGUAUGUUUUUAUUAAAUAAAUUUACAAUUUAUUUUAUGGUCUUAUUAAACAAAAUAUAUUCUAAAAUGUCGAAAAAAUAAUAUUUUUUCUGACCCAUUCGGUGAUUAGUGCACAUAGUGUAUUACUUUGUUUUGAAAUUACUUUGUUCAAAGUAGAAUAGCAUAAGUGGUUCUAACUAAUGGAUUCAAUAAAAAUAAUAUAAAAAUCUAAUAGUCAUAACAAAAUUAAUUUAGUUGAAAUUUAAACAUAAAGUAAAGUUGAUAUUUUAUUUAGAGAACAUACUUAUACUGUUAAAGUAUCAUGUGGAAAAUAUAUCAAAGAAACGGCAUUUAAAUUUUACUUUAGAGAGUAAUCUAAAUUUAAACGUGUGUAAUGAAGUUUUGUUUAUAUAUAUAUAUAUUCUUCUUAUUUGAUUUUUGGUAUGAAACUAACUCUAGCAAUGGAACAUAUUAGUAAAUGAGUUCCAGAUUCAGAAGCCGACACAUGUUCAAAAACAUCCACCCCUCUCUACUGACAUGGCGGCCUGUGGAAAAAGAAAAUACAACUUUAUUAUUAUAGAUAUUUCAUUUUCCGUUGACAUUUUAUCUUAAAUUUAAUUUAAAUAAUCAGAAUAAUAAAAUAUUAAUUAAUCUACUGUAUUAGAAUAUAAUAAAUAAAGGUUCGAAUGUUUACAAACCACAUCGCACUACUGUUGAUAAUAUUAAAAAGAUUAAUACUACUAUUUUUGUAUGUUUUAUUAUUUUAGAUCAAGCAUCCCAUCUACUUCAAAUAACUGAUUAUAAUUUAAAACAAUUACUAUUGAUUACUUAUAUGGUUAAAUGGUUUUUAUUAUAUUCUAUUAGGUUUUGUUUUUAUUUUUUAUAAAUUUUGACAUAUUAUAUAUGUAACUAUUUAUUAUAUAAUAAUAAAAAAAAUUAUAAAUUUUAUUCUUGAACAGAAAAGUUUUUAUUUAUUUAUUUGAUAUUUGGUUUUAUUUUAAAUCAUUAUUAUAUAUAAUAUUUUUAUUAUAUCAAAUAAUUUUUAAUAAAAAUGUAACUGGAAUAUAAGUUAUAUAAAACAUACACAAUGUCAAAAUUGUCAAGGGAUUUUUUCUUGCAUCAAAAAAAAAAUGAAUAAAAUGUGUUUGAUGAAACGUGAAAAUGAUGUUGUAAAGGAAUAAACUGUAUGUGUACACUGCAAUUACUCUUUUUUAUAUUCAAUUUAGUGUUGUUUUUUAUUAUAUUGCGUUUUCUCACUAAACUAUUAUUAAGUAUUCCCACUAAUUUUAUUUUCAAAUUGAAUUUUUCAAAAAAAAAAAUUGUAACAUAUUUUCACUCUGUAGUUCCCUAGCAAAAGACUUUUAAAAAAAAAUAGCUUCAGGAAAUAGUAAAUAAAAAUAGCUCAUGAAACAUUUAUAUUAGAAUCACUGUAAUGGUUGAUUUUUUUCUGGUUCAAAACGAAAUUCUCGUUGUCCACCUUGAAGACAAUAAAAUUGAGAAUACGCAAUUAUUCUUAAAAAACCAUCGUAUUGGUCCCUACUAAGCACGUUUCUUCACAUGAUAGUCGUCGUUUUGAACUAUUUUUAGUUUUUACCAUAUUUUUUCUAGCUGAAGGUAUUGGUCCCUACUAAGCACGUUUAAAUAUAUAUAUAAUCCUCCUUUUCAUUAAUUUAAUUAAUUUAGAAUAGCAAACAUCACUAUUUUCUUUGCAAAUCUCAAAAAAGCAGAGUAAGAGGACAACGUGUCCCCAAAAAGUUACAAUUCUUUAAUUUCUAACAAAAUCCCAAAAUUUUCACAUUAUCACAUAUUGCUCACUCUCUUCUCCUUUUUCAUCUAACUUCUCUCUCUAUUUCACCUUAACGAACUAACAACACUAAGGCCAGAAGAACCAUCCAUGGCCUCCCAUUGGAGCUCUGGUGUACAACUGGCGAGAAGAACCAUGCAAAUCUCGAUUUGAUGACUCAGUUAACGCCGUUUCCUCUGGUUUCGUAGUUACAGACAUUCUCAUCUCAAUGUUCCUCGUCAUGGCUAUCUUCGAGAAACUGAUUGAACACCUACUAAGCCAGAUUCCUCUUCUGGUCGGAUAUUUUGGGUAUAGCGUCUUGGUUCGGUUUAGUAGCAUCUAAGCUCGGUUAUCAAUCUCCAAAGGCAAGUACUGUACUUGUCGCAUUUUCCUUGCGACAACAAAUCAUGCGCAUGUUCACUGCUCUGCCUUCUCUUAGUCUAGCCUCAACCUGUGGAUAAAAGAAACACAGAGGCUUGGCUAAGAGGGACAUAACUCUUCCUCAACACGGCAAGAAAGAGUAUGAGGUGUAGGAAGCUUGUUGAAGUUGGAGGCAAAGAUCCAGGUGGAGUUAACUCAAGUUCGUUGUGAUUUGUGAAGAUCAUUGAUCCUUUGUAAAAAUUGGUUGAGAUAAUAGAUUGCAUCUCCAAGUAUUGAUGAUCGAUCUAUCUGCAAAUGACAUCCAAAUUCACUAAAAAUGCUAGAGUUUUUAGUUCAAGCCAAAUAAAAGCAACAAACAUGACACAAAAUCUCUCCAAUUAUACCGGCGAUGAAGACAAAGCACUUGAGCAGAUAAGAGAGAAGUAAUUACCUCUGUAUUUUUUGUACUCCAGAUCAACAUAAGAGUCCAUAAGCACAAAGAGAA